rnacentral:misc_RNA from 1 species
GCUCCAGGAAGGCCAAGGGUAGCUCCAAAUAGUCCUGUAAUUUUUUACGUCCGUUUGGAAUACAUGCCUGGUCUUGAAUUAGAAGAAUAGGAGUCCCGUCCAUCUUUGUCUCAAAUUUGCCAUUAGCAUUCACUGAUGUGAGUUAUUGUGUUGAGUGCCUUCAUUAUUAAAUUCAAUUUUUUUCCAAUAUUGUACAAAUUGAGAAGUUCUCAUUUCUUGGUAUGAGAUGUGAAUAUCAAGAAGCUGAACAUCUUUAUUACAACCAGAAGCCCCUAUUAUUUUUUUAUUUUUUUCAUAAUUUUGAGACCAAGUAUAUGAGUUUCUGAUCUAAAAACCUUUGCUAGUUCAUCCCAUAGCAAAGGGCUAUUACUAGCUUAACUUAGUUCUUGUUUCAUACUUUCAUUUUUGUAAAACAACAGAAUCAAUGAUAUUAUUAUUGAAGUUUCAUGAUCUGAGAUUGUCCAGCAAAGAUAUUAUUGCUGUACUCUCUUCACUCACAUAGUUUGUGGGUCCCACAUGUUGGGCCCAUAAUGCAUGCGUGUGACAGUGGGAGUACACAGCCAUCCUAUUUUAAUAAUUUUCAUUAGGUUUACAAUUGUUAAUGAUAGAACAUAAAAUUGAUAAUUAUUGUCCUGGAUUUUGAUGCAUGUGGAUUAUUUCUCGAGUUCAAAUUGGUCAGUUUCAGUUCAUUCUGAGAAAACUCACAUAGCAAAACGAAAAGUCUGUUACUAAGACAAAACAGUAGAACAGACUCUAACAACAAUCAACCAAGCAAACAUUAAAACAGAGUCUGUUAGUACAGUUAUUGAAAGGUUAUAGUAUCAUUAGUUAACCUGUCAGGAACUGUGUAUCAACUUGUGCACUUGUGUGUAAGAUUAAUAGCAAAUUAUCAUUCUCUUCUUUUUCUUUUCUACAUUUUUCAUGUCCAUUGUGGAUUCCUACAGAAUCCACUUGUAUCAGGUUUUAUUCCAGUUAUCUUUCCAUUACUGAUAUGGUAAGAGAGAGUCGUGUUUUGUAUAGUUUGUAUAUGAUUUUACCUGAAUUUUGCCUACAAAUGAAAUUCUUUUAGCUGAGAAGGGAAGUAUCACUUCCAAUGCCUUUGUUUGAGCAGAAAAUGAAGAAGUCUUAAUGGUAGAUGCAUGUUGCUGUUACUUGCCAACUAAAGGCUCAA